CCUUUCACGGAAGGCAACAAGGUUCGAGGCACUGAACUUGGACCUUUUCUCUCUGGAAUGGCCAUGACGUUGACUAUUGAAGACUGCUGUAUUCAUCUUGAGUGUUUGGAGCACAAUGAUACAACUGUUCAACCUAUUUGAUAUGGAUUUCUCCUAUUCGGAAGAAAUUUCAACAACUUCACUUCUAACUUAAACACAUUCAUCGACUAGCCUGGCCAACAUGGUGAAACCCCGUGUCUACUAAAAAUACAAAAAUUAGCUGGGCGUGGUGGCAUAUGCCUGUAGUCCCAGCUACUUGGGAGGCUGAGGCAGAAGAAUCACUUGAACCUGGGAGGCAGAGGUUGCAGCAAGCCGAGAUUGUGCCAUUGCACUCCAGCCUGGGCGACAAGAGCAAAACUCCGUCUCAAAAAAUAAAUAAACAAACACAUAUAACACUGUCAAAAUAAGGAGAAACUUUCUUUCCCACAUUGAAAGUCAUUGAUGUUUUCCUUAAAAGCAUUGUAUCAUGUUUGUAUUCUUUAACAAUCAAAAAGAAUCAUUGUCUGCCUUUUUGUUUCUUCUUUUCUAAAUGAAAACAUUUAUAAAAAUAUUUAAGUGGAUAAGUUGCCUAUUGAAAUUGUAAUGUCCCUGAAGUAUUGGUUGAGCUUAAUUUAUUCAUAUAAGUUUCAAGCCAUUCAAAGGCCUAUUUUUCUGGCAGAAAACUAAAGACAGAGCUGUUAUUGUACCAUCUGGUUUGCAUGAGGAAUCUCUUGGCAUCUCUUAACUGCACAUUUUAUAAAUGCUAAAUCCCAGAUGGCAUACAUUGUAACAGUGAAGAGUUUUAUAAAGGCUUCCAAAAACAAAUUCUUUCAAAUUUGAAUACUGGAUAGUCUAAGCAGGGGCUAGGAAUUUAAAUUCUACACUUGAUUAAACUGGCUUUGUUAGCUGAACAAA